UUGAUUAAAAAACUAAGGCCCGCUACCUUUUCCCAAUUUUCUCCAAACCCGAGAAACAUAAACAUCAAAAUUCUCUCUUUUUAUCCCAAAAAUAUAUUAGGUUUUGUUAAAAGGAAUGGAGUUUCUGCCAAAAUUCUUUCAAUUUGUCGAUUUGGAGCCGAUACAAUCUCAAUCGGCGAUGAAGGCCCUAGUAAGCAAGCAUCUUAAUUACAUCUAUGGAGAUUAAGGGUUGGAGACUACCUAAAACCUAGAGACGUGAUUCAGUGCGUUGGAUAUGGCUUUUUCUUAUGAUCAGCAGACUAUCCUGAAAAGGGAAAAUGUAUUUUCGAGUUAUGAUAAGAGAGAAGCUCACAUGACACUCUUUAUUUGGGAUAUGUAUAAAAUAUUAAGACAUGGUUAAUACUCAUUAUAUGUGAGAACAUUUAGUUUCAUAUUUAACCAAAAAAGAGGAGAAAAAGAAUUGUAGUCAAUACGUAAAGAGAUGAUCAACAUUGAGCUACGACAACAUUAUAUCAAUGAUACUGCAGAAAGGAAUCAGAGAACUACGUGGCUGUUGAGUUAUACUAAACAACCAAGUUCUUAUAAUUAACUCAUCAACUUAGUUAUUGAAACUUUUUAUCCUCAUAAGAACUACCAUUUUUUCUUCAAACUUAAAGCUAUGCAGAGCUUGGCAUCUUCUCAUUCUUCUAGGAUUAUUCUCAAUCCUUAGUUGGUGAAUGAAAUAUAAAGAAAAUAUUUUCUAGCAUGACUACCAUCAAGUUUUCUCGUACCAAUUUCUGUGGUUCUCGGGUGUAACAAAUAAAGACAAGGUGCCAGUUCUUUAAUUUUGUGUGGCCAACUGACCACUAAUCUCAAGUCGUUAGACAGAGACACUUUUAUAUACUCUUAGUUACAUUUAAGUAGAUUAUCUUUUGUUCUCGUGUGCGAACUUGAUCUUUUCAUAUGUAAAAUACUUUCUUGAUAAUAGUUGGUAGUGACAUUUAAAAUAUAGGACCUCUUCUUUGUUAUCAUGUAAAAUUGUGCCCUAUAUUUUUUACGGUUCAAACUUAUAAAUGAGAUUGGUUAAACAAUUUAGCA